rnacentral:rRNA from 1 species
GACAGAGGUGCCGAGCGUUAGGCGGAAUCACUGGGCUUAAAGCGUGUGUAGGCGGGUGCCUAAGUACCUUGUGAAAUCCCACGGCUCAACCGUGGAACUGCUCGGUAUACUGGGUGCCUUGAGCCAACUAGGGGCGACCGGAACAAACGGUGGAGCGGUGAAAUGCGUAGAUAUCGUUUGGAACGCCGAUGGUGAAAACAGGUCGCUGGGGUUGUGCUGACGCUGAGACACGAAAGCCAGGGGGAGCGAACGGG